AGCAUAGCUUUACAAAUUGCUGUAUCAUGUUUCAAGUCCAUUUGGCUUUAGUUAUAGCUGACUUCAGCUGAGUUUUUAUUUAAUCAAGUCUAAUUUAUGUUGGGGCUCUUGAAUAUUGGAAUGGUUCUUCACUCCAACAAUAAACUACCCUAAACAAUAAACUGCCUCACUUCGAGAGGGCAUUAUAUUCACAUCUUAUGCUUGUCAAAUUGGCUCAGUGCAAUAUUUGAACAGGGCAGGCUAAUUGCUGAAACAGACAUUGCCAGACUCCAUUUAAAAAUUCACUCCUGCAAGCAAGCUCA